rnacentral:piRNA from 1 species
UCAAAUUUAGGAUGCAAAUCAAAAUACUGAGU